AAUAAUAAUAAGGUAGCGUUGGGGCUGCUAACCACGACAUGGGAUUAUUUCCGCCUUUUU
rnacentral:tRNA from 1 species